UGGUUGUGAUUUGAAUCUCACCCACGCUUCUGAUUAAUUCAUGAAGUACACAUGGGGUGAAUUUCUUAAUAUAAGCUA
rnacentral:snoRNA from 1 species